rnacentral:rRNA from 1 species
CUACGGGUUGCAGCAGUUUCGAAUCAUUCACAAUGGGGGCAACCCUGAUGGUGCGACGCCGCGUGGGGGAUGAAGGUUUUCGAAUUGUAAACCCCUGUCGAAUAGGACUAAAGGUAAGGUUCAUAGCCUUACUUGAAUUAACUAUUAGAGGAAGCAGUGGCUAACUCCGUGCCAGCAGCCGCGGUAAUACGGAGACUGCGAGCGUUACUCGGAUUCACUGGGCGUAAAGGGAGCGCAGGCGGUUACGUGUGUUGAUUGUGAAAUCUCGGGGCUUAACUCCGAAAUGGCAGUCAAAACUAUAUAACUAGAGUAUUGGAGAGGUAAGCGGAAUUUCUGGUGUAGCGGUGAAAUGCGCAGAUAUCAGAAGGAACACCGAAGGCGAAGGCAGCUUACUGGACAAUAACUGACGCUCAGGCUCGAAAGCGUGGGUAGCAAAAAGGAUUAGAUACCCCGGUAGUC